AAACGCUUGAAGUCAGUCGCGUUCUACAAGACUCAGCCUUGCUUCUGCUUGGUGCACUUCUUGUUUGAACGGGUCAACAUCAGUUUUGUUUGGUGGAUAAAGAUUAGAGAAAUGUGGCAUUGUUUACAAUGUGUUAUAGUCUCUAGUUGCAUACAUCAGACGGGACUGAGGAACUCAGCAUGCCUUUUAGGCCGGGGACUUGUCCCACGUUCAUGCUUAGGAUGUUGGCAUAAUGGCUUUAAACGA
rnacentral:rRNA from 1 species